UCCGGUAAACCACCGUCUCCUUGGUGACACUGUGCAGCAGAAAUAGAAGCCCGUGCUCAAACUCAGCCGGUGACUUUGGUUCCUAGUUGUAAAGUAACCUACACAGACGCAAUGCUUUCCCAGUAAGCACAGUCAGUGCUUCUAUUCUGGCUAAAAAAGAUUCCACAAGGCUGAGCUUAUAUAACCAGGCUGAAUCUUGUUAUCAUGGACUAGCACAGUAUCAUAAGGCUGGUCUGAUAAGAUACCUUGGCAUGUAUCUGAUCCAUUCACCCUAGAUGCUUUGUAACGUUGUCGCGUCCCUGACCUAUGAUAUUCUGUUUUGGGCUGGAGACUUCAAUAUGGUCUAUAAUGGUAAGCUGGACCGUUCUAAUUCUGCCCCGUUUCGCAGAUCAGGAAUUUUCUCCAGAUCUGUCAGCCAGCUCAACUUAAAGCCACCAGGGAAAUGGACAAGGAAAGAAAACUUGACCCUACUUCACCUCAAAGGAAGGAGAACAGAAUAUAAAAAUAAAUCCUUGAUCUGCAUGAGUGCAUCUUACUUCAUCUCUAUAGAAGAGGCCUUGUUCCCUAGAUCCCUGGAGACAACAAGUAUCACACACUGCAGACUGCACAGACAGACAGAAGCUGAAGAGACUCAAAUUCUAAGGUUUCCAUCUGAUGAAAACAAAAUCUUUCUAGAUCAGGAGGCAAUAGGACACUGCUGGUACCAAAACUAGUUUUCAGGCUUUCCUUUCAUCAAUGCCUAGGAGACUUUACAGAGAAGCCAUGAUCCUUCCUAAGUAUAUAUGUUGCUUAUUGCAGUGAAACAGUGAAAUUAGAAACAGUUUAAUAUAUAUUAGUUACCUAUGCGAAUACAAUGCUAUACUGAUACACUGAGCACUACAAUGGCGAUAGGUAGGAGGCAAUCCAAGAACAUAUCACUUCAAAGCAAGUUCUUAUUAUAAUUUAACCUUUCAAGGGGUACCCCGAUGAAAAAAAAUUUUUUUGUUUUAAAUCCACUGGUGCCAGAA